AGUAUUGGUUAAGGAUCCGGUAAUCUGCAUCCUGAGGUUUAAAACAAUAAAUUUAUUGUAUCUAGUCCUCGGGAUGCUGAUUACCUUUUCCUUAUGACCAAUGUACA
rnacentral:pre_miRNA from 1 species